GAUGAACGCUGGCGGCGUGCCUAACACAUGCAAGUCGAACGAACCUAAUCUUCGGAAAGGGUUAGUGGCGCACGGGUGAGUAACACGUAGGUGACCUGCCCUGGAGUGGGGGAUAACUUCUCGAAAGAGAGGCUAAUACCGCAUAUGCUCGGCCAUUCAGUUGGUCGAGUAAAGCUCCGGCGCUCCAGGAGGGGCCUGCGUCCGAUUAGCUAGUUGGUGGGGUAAUGGCUCACCAAGGCUAUGAUCGGUAGCUGGUCUGAGAGGACGAUCAGCCACACUGGCACUGACACACGGGCCAGACUCCUACGGGAGGCAGCAGUGAGGAAUAUUGGUCAAUGGGCGAAAGCCUGAACCAGCAACGCCGCGUGAGGGAUGAAGGCCUUCGGGUCGUAAACCUCUUUCUGGGAGAAGAGACAAGGACGGUAUCCCAGGAAUAAGUCUCGGCUAACUACGUGCCAGCAGCCGCGGUAAAGUCGAUAUC
rnacentral:rRNA from 1 species